GAUCAUGGCUCAGGAUGAACGCUAGCUACAGGCUUAACACAUGCAAGUCGAGGGCAGCAUGAAGUUGCUGCAAACUUGAUGGCGACCGGCGCACGGGUGAGUAACGCGUAUCCAACCUUCCCUAUACUAGAGGAUAGCCCGGCGAAAGUCGGAUUAAUACUCUAUAUUCUUCGUAGAAGACAUCUGAAAUGAAGCAAAGGUUUACCGGUAUAGGAUGGGGAUGCGUCUGAUUAGGUUGUUGGCGGGUAACGGCCCACCAAGCCCACGAUCAGUAGGGGUUCUGAGAGGAAGGUCCCCCCACAUUGGAACUGAGACACGGUCCAAACUCCUACGGGAGGCAGCAGUGAGGAAUAUUGGUCAAUGGACGAGAGUCUGAACCAGCCCAAGUAGCGUGCGGGAUGACGGCCCUAUGGGUUGUAAACCGCUUUUGCCGGGGAAUAAAGUGGCCCACGCGUGGGUUUUUGCAUGUACCCGGAGAAUAAGGACCGGCUAAUUCCGUGCCAGCCGCCGC
rnacentral:rRNA from 1 species